rnacentral:rRNA from 1 species
GAUGAACGCUGACAGAAUGCUUAACACAUGCAAGUCUUUGGCGAAUCUGUGCUUGCACAGGCUAGCCAAGGCGGACGGGUGAGUAACGCGUAAAGAACUUGCCCUGCAGACAGGGAUAACAGACGGAAACGACUGAUAACACCUGAUACAAUUGCCGGCACGCAUGUGCCUGGCAAUGAAAAGAGAUGCUGCGGGAGAGCUUUGCGUCCUAUUAGCUUGUUGGUGAGGUAACGGCUCACCAAGGCGAUGAUAGGUAGCCGGCCUGAGAGGGUGAACGGCCACAAGGGGACUGAGAUACGGCCCUUACUCCUACGGGAGGCAGCAGUGGGGAAUAUUGGACAAUGGGGGCAACCCUGAUCCAGCAAUUCUGUGUGCACGAAGAAGGUUUUCGGAUUGUAAAGUGCUUUCAGCAGGGAAGAAGAAAGUGACGGUACCUGCAGAAGAAGCGACGGCUAAAUACGUGCCAGCAGCCGCGGUAAUACGUAUGUCGCAAGCGUUAUCCGGAAUUAUUGGGCAUAAAGGGCAUCUAGGCGGCCAGACAAGUCUGGGGUGAAAACUUGCGGCUCAACCGCAAGCCUGCCCUGGAAACUGUUUGGCUAGAGUGCUGGAGAGGUGGACGGAACUGCACGAGUAGAGGUGAAAUUCGUAGAUAUGUGCAGGAAUGCCGAUGAUGAAGAUAGUUCACUGGACGGCAACUGACGCUGAAGUGCGAAAGCUAGGGGAGCGAACAGG